CUACCGGCAUCGAUUGAACAAUGACUAUCUAGUUUUUUACCAAGUGAAAUCGUGUCACCAGUCGAAGAUAUUUGUCACUGCAAACGAAACAGGGUGUACAAUACAAUUCCCAGUGAAAACAAAAGAAAAUGCAGCGGUUGCCUUCGACACAUUAGUAUCAAAGGCUCGUCAACGGAUAUCAACGUUUCCGGGCGGCUUAAAAUUUUCCGAAAUGAUACCAUUACAUAUGCUGCCUGUGGACUUGUGUGUAAUUAGAAGAGACUCAGCUGAAGCGAUCUUCUGUUAUUUUGUAUAUGAGCUCAGACAUGCCAAUGGAAAUCCAGAUUUACUAAAGCAGCUAAUAGCAAAAAAUGACAUAAACACAAAACGAAAACAGUAUUGUGGUAACGCUAGCGAUGUAUUACACAAAAUGGUUGCAAAGAUGGCAUCUGAAAAAUACAACUGCAAUGCUGAAGAAG